rnacentral:rRNA from 1 species
ACGGCUCAGUAACACGUGGAUAACCUGCCCUUGGGUCCGGCAUAACCCCGGGAAACUGGGGAUAAUUCCGGAUAACGCAUAUAUGCUGGAAUGCUUUAUGCGUCAAAUGGAUUCGUCUGCCCAAGGAUGGGUCUGCGGCCUAUCAGGUAGUAGUGGGUGUAAUGUACCUACUAGCCGACGACGGGUACGGGUUGUGAGAGCAAGAGCCCGGAGAUGGAUUCUGAGACAUGAAUCCAGGCCCUACGGGGCGCAGCAGGCGCGAAAACUUUACAAUGCGGGAAACCGUGAUAAGGGGACACCGAGUGCCAGCAUCAUAUGCUGGCUGUCCGGGUGUGUAAAAUACACCUGUUAGCAAGGGCCGGGCAAGACCGGUGCCAGCCGCCGCGGUAACACCGGCGGCCCGAGUGGUGAUCGUGAUUAUUGGGUCUAAAGGGUCCGUAGCCGGUUUGGUCAGUCCUCCGGGAAAUCUGACGGCUUAACCGUUAGGCUUUCGGAGGAUACUGCCAGGCUUGGAACCGGGAGAGGUAAGAGGUACUACAGGGGUAGGAGUGAAAUCUUGUAAUCCCUGUGGGACCACCUGUGGCGAAGGCGUCUUACCAGAACGGGUUCGACGGUGAGGGACGAAAGCUGGGGGCACGAACCGGAUUAGAUACCCGGGUAGUCCCAGCCGUAAACGAUGCUCGCUAGGUGUCAGGCAUGGCGCGACCGUGUCUGGUGCCGCAGGGAAGCCGUGAAGCGAGCCACCUGGGAAGUACGGCCGCAAGGCUGAAACUUAAAGGAAUUGGCGGGGGAGCAC